AAAAAACAUGCCCCUGCGAGUGUGCAAGGCAAUAUACUGAAGCAGAACCACAUCCCAUACAUACCUGAGAUUGAAACAAACACAUUUCAGAUAAAAAUAACUGGGUUUUUAAAGAAACAAAAAUUCUCACUACAUUCAGGUUGACUAAUUGUCUUAAGAUGUUCUUUUAAAAUUAAAACAAUAAUUUAAUUUAGUUAAUUCUUUGUGUGUAUGUGUGCAUGUGUGUGUGACAAACAUGCCAUAAAACAUGUAUCAGAGAUCCAAGGACAACUUUCAGGAGACAGCUUUUAUCUUUAAUUUUGUUACUAAAAGAACUUUCUUGUUGUUUCUUCUUCUGCAGAAGCUAGACGGCUCAAUCCUAGAUGAUUCUUACAUCUCUGUCUCCACAGAAGGCCAGCAUUACAAUUGCCAUCAUAGGAUCCAGGUCCAGGUCAGAAACAUACCCAUUGCCAAGCUUGGCUACCAGCAUUGGCUCCUCUGGACCAUAGAUUCAGCUGACUCCCAAGGAAAUACUUCUCAGAAGAUUUCACUUCAAUGACAAAGACUCUAACUGAACUUAGAACUAGGCUGUAUGACCAAUGACCCUUCAGAUGAAUCUGUCUCAGUGAAUCAGGUACAGGAACUCUGCCUUAAACAAAGACAUCUGGCACCAUUUAUGAGUGCAAAUGCAGAGGCAGGAUGACUCUCAGCAAGCAAUUUUACAUGUGCUGACAUCAACACCUGUUCAUCGCCACAACGAGACACCAACUAUUCCUAAGAGGAAAAAGAUGUAACCUAUAUACCCACAAAGUGGAUUGGGAAUAUAUGGUCAUAUGGUAUAUUAAAACCAUAUCAUAGAAACUAUUGAGAAUUUACCUAACACAUCAUGACAACAAAGUGAACAGCACCCUACCUGAACCAUGUAAAAGGGAAAAAGCUGUAAUGAAGACAUCCCUAUGAACCUGUCAACUAUCUUGUGUGUGUACACUGGAAGACAGACAGACAUAGAAGUCCUGACUGUCCUUGAUGCUUCAGCUCAGCAUGCUACUUGAUGUCCUACAGCUUGAUGUCGCCCACUAAAGUUUCUAGUUUUUGACAGGUCCUAUGUCUCUUAGGCUCUACUCUACCCUGCAACCCAAUAACUUGGCUAUGUGGGUCUACAAAAUCUUCAACCAGAUUAAUAAAGGUCUACUGUAAACACCUUCAGUGACUCUUCAUAUAUGCAUCAGCUUUCUGCCUGCCUCUUCGAGGUCUCUGACAUUUGAGGCUUCUUCAAUCCUUUUAUAGCCAUUCUAUUUCAUGAUAUAUUGCAUAACAUUCUGUUUAUAACUGUGCCAAGUAUAAUAAGAUGUGAUCCAAGAGUUAACGUUAGUAAUUAUGGGUGGUUUUCUUGUGCCGUUCGUUUGGUUUUUGGUUUUUAAGAUAAGGUCUCACUCACUAUGUAACCCUAUCUGGACUGGAACUGUCUUUGUAGACCAGGUUGGCUUCAAGCUUUCACAGAUCUCCCUCCUUCGUCCUCAAGUGCUAGAAUUAAAGGUAUGCACCACCACACAGGACAAUAUUUUAAAUCAAAGUCACAGAAGCUGUGAUUACAAUGUCCAGCUGCCAAGAAAAAUCCAAAUUACUAGGUAAAUAGCAGGAGCAAAGCUAAUACAACUCGUGAAUGAACCGUUUUGCAACAAAUUCUGGCAUUGUGGAAAGACACAAGCACAUGUCUGUUCCUGGAAUACAGCUUUAAUGGCAGACGGAAAAAGGAACUUAGGAGAGUCUGAUACCAAACCUAGAUGUGAUUUUGUCUGGGUCUCUAAUUACUAAAGACAUAAACUCAUCUAAAACAACAAACAACAACAACAAACAACAACAACUCCACCAUGAUCACUAAAAGAAUGGUCAGUAAAUCAGAUGGGGUGACUGAGAAGUGGGAGGCUCUUCACCAUCCUUCACCAAAGAGUGAAAACCAAAGGGACCUACAUCUGCCAAAGGAGACCAUGGUAAUCUCUGGGCUCACAUCCUGUGCUUGCUGCAAUACCAGGACCUUUUGCACAUCUCCAAUUUCCUGACUUACCUCUUUCGAGGGACAGUUAUCCUAAAGGGUCUCAGUAGGAAGCUCUGAUUCCUCUUGAGGAAGAAGGAAAUGCAUUUUUAAAAAAUUCCCAGACAAUUAUUAUGUUGAAAUUGGGGUUUUGGUUUCUUCGCAAUCCUUCACAUGACCACAUCUGAAAAACUAAUUUCCAUUCUGCCCUGAAGGCAUUACACACCAAUCGUGGCAUUGUCAAACCUCAUAGCCAUUUUAAACAUGCCAGGCUAACGGUUCAAGCUGAAAGUAGAAAGGAUUUUCCAUUAAGCUGCCAAUAGUAACGUAAUACAAUGAAGGCAAUUGUCACUAGAUGAUUCAUCUAGUUAGAAUCUCAACUCCCUUUCUGGGUAGAAAAUAUGAAGCUUGCUUAUUUAUAUUAGACACCAAGCAAAUACUUACUCAUAAUUCAGCUAUUCUGUAUCCAAGCAAGGCAGAGACUCCAAGCAGGGAGGUAGAAAGGCAAAUGUUCACUUUGGCUAUCAGUAAACGUCAUAGCCUUUCUAAAUUUGUCACUUUUCCACACACACACACACACA
rnacentral:lncRNA from 1 species